AUUGAACGCUGGCGGCAUGCUUUACACAUGCAAGUCGAACGGUAACAGGCCUUCGGGUGCUGCCGAGUGGCGAACGGGUGAGUAAUGCAUCGGAACGUGCCCAGAGUUGGGGGAUAACGCAGCGAAAGCUGUGCUAAUACCGCAUGUGAUCUGAGGAUGAAAGCGGGGGACCAGGCAGCAAUGUUUGGCCUCGCGCCUUUGGAGCGGCCGAUGUCCGAUUAGGUAGUUGGUGGGGUAAAGGCCUACCAAGCCGACGAUCUGUAGCUGGUCUGAGAGGACGAACAGCCACACUGGGACUGAGACACGGCCCAGACUCCUACGGGAGGCAGCAGUGGGGAAUGUUGGACAAUGGGCGCAAGCCUGAUCCAGCAAUGCCGCGUGAGGGAAGAAGGCCUUCGGGUUGUAAAACGCUUUUGUACGGAACGAAAAGGCUCUGGCUAAUACCUGGGGCUGAUGACGGUACCGGAAGAAUAAGCACCGGCUAACUACGUG
rnacentral:rRNA from 1 species